AUUGAACGCUGGCGACAGGCUUAACACAUGCAAGUCGAGCGGAGAGAGGUAGCUUGCUACUGAUCUUAGCGGCGGACGGGUGAGUAAUGCUCAGGAAUCUGCCUAUUAGUGGGGGACAACAUUUCGAAAGGAAUGCUAAUACCGCAUACGUCCUACGGGAGAAAGCAGGGGAUCUUCGGACCUUGCGCUAAUAAAUGAGCCUAAGUCGGAUUAGCUAGUUGGUGGGGUAAAGGCCUACCAAGGCGACGAUCUGUAGCGGGUCUGAGAGGAUGAUCCGCCACACUGGGACUGAGUCACGGCCCAGACUCCUACGGGAGGCAGCAGUGGCGAAUAUUGGACAAUGGGCGCAAGCCUGAUCCAGCCAUGCCGCGUGUGUGAAGAAGGCCUUUUGGUUGUAAAGCACUUUAAGCGAGGAGGAGGCUACUUUAGUUAAUACCUAGAGAUAGUGGACGUUACUCGCAGAAUAAGCACCGGCUAACUCUGUGCCAGCCGCCGCCGUAA
rnacentral:rRNA from 1 species